rnacentral:rRNA from 1 species
AGAGUUUGAUCCUGGCUCAGGAUGAACGCUAGCUACAGGCUUAACACAUGCAAGUCGAGGGGAAACGGCAUUUAGUGCUUGCACCGAAUGGACGUCGACCGGCGCACGGGUGAGUAACGCGUAUCCAACCUACCCAUUACUGUGGGAUAACCUGCCGAAAGGCAGACUAAUACCGCAUAGUCUUCGAUGACGGCAUCAGAUUUGAAGUAAAGAUUUAUCGGUAAUGGAUGGGGAUGCGUCUGAUUAGCUUGUUGGCGGGGUAACGGCCCACCAAGGCAACGAUCAGUAGGGGUUCUGAGAGGAAGGUCCCCCACAUUGGAACUGAGACACGGUCCAAACUCCUACGGGAGGCAGCAGUGAGGAAUAUUGGUCAAUGGGCGAGAGCCUGAACCAGCCAAGUAGCGUGCAGGAUGACGGCCCUAUGGGUUGUAAACUGCUUUUGUAUGGGGAUAAAGUCAAUCACGUGUGAUUGUUUGCAGGUACCAUACGAAUAAGGACCGGCUAAUUCCGUGCCAGCAGCCGCGGUAAUACGGAAGGUCCAGGCGUUAUCCGGAUUUAUUGGGUUUAAAGGGAGCGUAGGCCGGAGAUUAAGUGUGUUGUGAAAUGUAGACGCUCAACGUCUGACUUGCAGCGCAUACUGGUUUCCUUGAGUACGCACAACGUUGGCGGAAUUCGUCGUGUAGCGGUGAAAUGCUUAGAUAUGACGAAGAACUCCGAUUGCGAAGGCAGCUGACGGGAGCGCAACUGACGCUUAAGCUCGAAGGUGCGGGUAUCGAACAGGAUUAGAUACCCUGGUAGUCCGCACAGUAAACGAUGGAUGCCCGCUGUUGGUACCUGGUAUCAGCGGCUAAGCGAAAGCAUUAAGCAUCCCACCUGGGGAGUACGCCGGCAACGGUGAAACUCAAAGGAAUUGACGGGGGCCCG